rfam:Spinacia oleracea cultivar SynViroflay scaffold86933.con0041.1, whole genome shotgun sequence.
CAACCUCUGACGAAGAACGUGUAAGUUG